rnacentral:rRNA from 1 species
UACGUAGGGUGCAAGCGUUGUCCGGAAUCAUUGGGCGUAAAGGGUGCGUAGGCGGUUGUUUAAGUCUGUCGUGAAAUCCCCGGGCUCAACCUGGGAAUGGCGAUGGAAACUGGGCAGCUAGAGUGUGUCAGAGGAUGGUGGAAUUCCCGGUGUAGCGGUGAAAUGCGUAGAGAUCGGGAGGAACAUCAGUGGCGAAGGCGGCCAUCUGGGACAACACUGACGCUGAAGCACGAAAGCGUGGGGAGCAAACAGG